rnacentral:rRNA from 1 species
CCUACGGGAGGCAGCAGUGGGGAAUAUUGGGCAAUGGGCGCAAGCCUGACCCAGCAACGCCGCGUGAAGGAUGACGGCUCUCGGGUUUUAAACUUCUUUUCUUAGGGACGUAGAAAGUGACGGUACCUCAGGAAUAAGCCACGGCUAACUACGUGCCAGCAGCCGCGGUAAUACGUAGGGGGCAAGCGUUAUCCGGAUUUAUUGGGUGUAAAGGGCGUGUAGGCGGGAAAGCAAGUCAGAUGUGAAAACUCAGGGCUCAACCCUGGGCCUGCAUUUGAAACUGUUUUUCUUGAGUGCGUGGGAGGCAAUCGGAAUUCGGUGUGUAGCGGUGAAAUGCGUAGAUA